rnacentral:rRNA from 1 species
UGGGGAAUAUUGCACAAUGGGGAAACCCGUAGCAUGCAGCCAUGCCGCGUGUAUGAAGAAGGCCUUAGGGUUGUAAAGUACUUUCGGUGAUGAGGAAGGUACUUGGUCUAAUAGGCCAAGUAAUUUGACGUUAAUUACAGAAGAAGCACCGGCUAACUCCGUGCCAGCAGCCGCGGUAAAUACGGAGGGUGCGAGCGUUAAUCGGAAUGACUGGGCGUAAAGGGCAUGUAGGCGGAUGAUUAAGUUAGGUGUGAAAAUCCCCCGA